rnacentral:rRNA from 1 species
AAUCAACGCUGGCGGUGCGCUUAACACAUGCAAGUCGCACGAGAAAGUGGAGCAAUCCAUGAGUACAGUGGCGCACGGGUGAGUAACACGUGGGUAACCUGCCCUUGAAUGGGGAAUAACCCGGGGAAACCUGGGCUAAUACCGCAUACGCUCCUUUUGGCUCACGCCAGGGGGAGGAAAGGCGCAAGCCGUUCGAGGAGGGGCCCGCGGCCGAUUAGCUAGUUGGUAGGGUAAUGGCCACCAAGGCUUUGAUCGGUAGCCGGCCUGAGAGGGCACACGGCCACACUGGCACUGAAACACGGGCCAGACUCCUACGGGAGGCAGCAGUGGGGAAUCUUGCACAAUGGGGGAAACCCUGAUGCAGCGACGCCGCGUGAGCGAUGAAGCCCCUUCGGGGUGUAAAGCUCUUUUGGCGGGGAAAAUUAUGAUGGUACCCGCUGAAUAAGCUGCGGCUAACUACGUGCCAGCCGCCGCCGUAAC